rnacentral:lncRNA from 1 species
AGCCCCAGAGAACAACCACUGACAGUGAGAAAGGCUGAUUGCAUUUAAAAGAGCUCUCCAGGUCUUGUGAGCUGAGCUAAGAUGCUGUCUGGCAGAUGAAUUGGAAUACUUGAAAGCUUUCUUGAAGACUUCUGCAAGAGUUGCUGGCUUCCACUAACAAGAACUUGAUUGGUUGCCAUCUGGUGUAUUGUGAACAGUCUCAGAGAGUAAGAGGCCAUCUGUUAAUACUUUUUCAGGAAGCUUUUUAUAGAGCAGUGAAGUGGCAAAUCUCAAAAACACGUUGUAAUGACUUACAAGAUCUCAGGUAUGUGUACAAGUAAAGGCU